GACUUCUACCCUCUCCCUAGAUGAACGGGAAAGAGUUUUUUCUCUAGUCCAAUCUCACGCUGAUAACCGCCGGCUUCAUGAGCCAGACCUCCAGGAAGGCAUCAGAGCAGUUCCCCAAGAGGAUCCCCAAGGAACUAUCAGGCAGAUUCCCCAGGUAUAGCUAGGUGAGAUUACAUUAUUUCCUGCCUAGUUGAAGGGCUUAAAAAGGCAGCUUACAAAGCUGUUAAUUAUGACAAGCUUAAAGAAACUACCCAAGGUAAAGACAAAAACCCAGCCCAGUUCAUGGCCCGCUUAGCAGCAACCCUUAGACGCUAUACCACCCUAGACCCAGAGGGGACAGGAGGCCGCCUUAUUCUUAAUAUGCAUUUUAUCACCCAAUCUGCUCCUGACAUUAGGAAAAAACUUCAAAAAUUAGCAUCUGGCCCUCAAACCCCACAACAGGAAUUAAUCAACCUUGCCUUCAAGGUGUACAAUAAUAGAGAGGAGGCAGCCAGACGACAACGCAUUUCUGAGUUACAAUUACUCGCCUCUGCUGUGAGACAAAACCCAGCCACACCUCCAGCACACAAGAACUUCAAAAUGCCGAAGCCGCACAUGCCUAAGCCGCAGCAGUCAAGCAUUCCUACAAGACUUCCUCCAUUAGGAUCUUGCUUCAAGUGCCAGAAAUCUGGCCACUAGGCAAGGAAUGCCCACAGCCCAGGAUUCCUCCCAAGCCAUCUGUGCAGGGACCCACUGGAAAUCAGACUGCCUAGCUCAUCCAGCAGCUACUCCUAGAGCCCCUAAAGCUGUAGCCCAAGGCUCUCUGACUGACUCCUUCCUAGAUCUGCUCGGCUUAGCAGCUGAAGACUGACGCUGCCUGAUCGCCUCGGAAGCCCCCUGGACCAUCACGGAUGCCAAGCUUCAGAUAACUCUCACAGUAGAGGGUCCACACUGUUUUUAGGGAGCUGUAACACCGUGAAGGUUUGCAGCUUCACUCAAGCUAGCGAGCCCACGAGCCCACUGGGAGGAAUGAACAACUCCAGAUACGCUGCCUUAAGAGUUGUUAACACUCACCGCGAAGGUGUGCAGCUUCACUCCUGAGCCAGUGAGACCACGAACACAUCCGAACAGCAAAAAGAACAAACUCCGGAUGCACCACCUUAAGAGCUGUACCACUCACUGUGGGGGUCUGUGGCUUCAUUUCUGAAGUCAGUGAGGCCAAGAAUCCACCAAUUCUGGACACACAGAUCCUAUUGCUCUAGGCAACGCUUAUGCUGAUGAGGUGGCUAGACAAGCAGCUAGCAUUCCAACUUCUGUCCGUCAUGGCCAGUUUUUCCCCUACCCAUCGGUCACUCCCACUUACUCCCCCACUGAAACUUCCACCAUAUCAAUCUCUUCCCACACAAGGCAAAUGGUUCUUAGACCAAGGAAAAUAUCUCCUUCCAGCCUCACAGGCCCAUUCUAUUCUGUCAUUUCAUAACUUCUUCAUGUAGGUUACAAGCCGCUAGCCCGUCUCUCAGAACCUCUCGUUUCCUUUCCAUCAUGGAAAUCUAUCCUCAAGGAAAUCACUUCUCAGUGUUCUAUCUGCUAUUCUGCUCAGGGAUUGUUCAGGUCCCCUCCCUUCCCUACACAUCAAGCUCGGGGAUUUGCCCCUGCCAGGACUGGCAAAUUGACUUUACUCACAUGCCCUGAGUCAGAAAACUAAAAUACCUCUUGGUCUGGGUAGACACUUCCACUGGAUGGGUAGAAGCCUUUCCCACAGGGUCUGAGAAGGCCACCGCGGUCAUUUCUUCCCUUCUGUCAGACAUAAUUCCUCGGUUUGGCCUUCCCACCUCUAUACAGUCUGAUAACGGACCAGCCUUUAUUAGUCAAAUCACCCGAGCGGGUUUUCAGGCUCUUAGUAUUCAGUGAAACCUUUGUAUCCCUUACCGUCCUCAAUCUUCAGGAACGGACUAAUGGUCUUUUAAAAACAGAACUCACCAAGCUCAGCCACCAACUUAAAAAGGACUGGACAAUACUUUUACCACUUGCCCUUCUCAGAAGUCAGACCUGUCCUCAGAAUGCUACAGGGUACAGCACAUUUAAGCUCCUGUAUAGAUGCUCCUUUUUAUUAGGCCCCAGUCUCAUUCCAGACACCAGACCAACUUGGACUGCACCCCAAAAAACUUGUCAUCCCUACUAUCUUCUGUCUAGUCAUACUCCUAUUCACCGUUCUCAACUACUCAUAAAUGCCCUGCUCUUGUUUACACCGCCGGUUUUCACUGUUUCUCCAAGCCAUCACAGCUGAUAUCUCCUGGUGCUAUCCCGAAACCGCCGCUCUUAACUCCCUCUUAAAGUAAAUAAAUAAUCUUUGCUGGCAGGACUAUGCUGAACCUCCUUAGGCACUCUCUAAUUGGAUGUCCAGGGUCCUCCCAAUUCUUAGUCCUUUAAUACUUGUUUUUCUCCUUCUUAUUCCGUUCUUUUUUCAAUUCAUACAAAACCGUAUCCAGGCCAUCACCAAUAAUUCUAUGCGACAAAUGUUUCUUCUAACAACCACACAAUAUCACCCCUUACCACAAAAUCUUCCUUCAGCUUACUCUCUCCCAUGCUAGGUUCCCAUGCCACCCCUAAUCCCAGCCCUGAGAAACAUCACCCAUUAUCUCUCCAUACCACCCCCAAAAAUUUUCACCACCCCAACACUUUGCCACUAUUUCAUUUUAUUUUUCUUGUUAAUAUAAGAAGACAGGAAUGUCAGGCCUCUGAGCCCAAGCUAAGCCAUCAUAUCCCCUGUGACCUGCACGUACACAUCCAGAUGGCCAGUUCCUGCCUUAACUGAUGACAUUCCACCACAAAAGAAGUGAAAAUGGCCUGUUCCUGCCUUAACUCAUGACAUUAUCUUGUGAAAUUCCUUCUCCUGGCUCAUCCUGGCUCAGAAGCUCCCCCACUGAGCACCUUGUGACCCCCACUCCUGCCCACCAGAGAACAACACCUUUUGACUGUAAUUUUCCAUUACCUACCCAAAUCCUAUAAAACGGCCCCACCCCUAUCUCCCUUUGCUGACUCACUUUUCGGACUCAGCCCGCCUGCACCCAGGUGAAAUAAACAGCCUUGUUGCUCA